AUUGAACGCUGGCGGCAGGCCUAACACAUGCAAGUCGAGCGGAUGAAGGGAGCUUGCUCCUGGCUUCAGCGGCGGACGGGUGAGUAAUGCAUAGGAAUCUGCCUGGUAGUGGGGGAUAACGUCCGGAAACGGGCGCUAAUACCGCAUACGUCCUGAGGGAGAAAGUGGUGGAUCUUCGGACCUCACGCUAUCAGCUGAGCCUAGGUCGGAUUAGCUAGUUGGUUGGGUAAAGGCCUACCAAGGCGACGAUCCGUAACUGGUCUGAGAGGAUGAUCAGUCACACUGGAACUGAGACACGGUCCAGACUCCUACGGGAGGCAGCAGUGGGGAAUAUUGGACAAUGGGCGAAAGCCUGAUCCAGCCAUGCCGCGUGUGUGAAGAAGGUCUUCGGAUUGUAAAGCACUUUAAGUUGGGAGGAAGGGCAGUAAGUUAAUACCUGGCUGUUUUGACGUUACCAACAGAAUAAGCACCGGCUAACUUCGUG
rnacentral:rRNA from 1 species